rnacentral:rRNA from 1 species
UACGUAGGUGGCAAGCGUUGUCCGGAAUUAUUGGGCGUAAAGCGCGCGCAGGCGGUCCUUUAAGUCUGAUGUGAAAGCCCACGGCUCAACCGUGGAGGGUCAUUGGAAACUGGGGGACUUGAGUGCAGAAGAGGAGAGUGGAAUUCCACGUGUAGCGGUGAAAUGCGCAGAUAUCAGGAAGAACACCCGUGGCGAAGGCGGCUCUCUGGAACGCAACUGACGCUGAGACGCGAAAGCGUGGGGAGCAAACAGG